rnacentral:tRNA from 1 species
GGGUCGGUGGUCUAGCUUGGCUUAGGAUCCGCGCCUGGGGCGCGCGAGUCCGUGGGUUCAAAUCCCACCCGACCCACCA